CCUACGGGAGGCAGCAGUGGGGAAUAUUGCACAAUGGGGGCAACCCUGAUGCAGCGACGCCGCGUGAAUGAAGAAGUCAUUCGUUAUGUAAAGCUCUUUCAGCAGGGAAGAAAAUGACGGUACCUGUGUAAGAAGCCACGGAUAACUCCGUGCCAGCAGCCGCGGUACUACGGAGGGUGCGAGCGUUAAUCGGAAUUACUGGGCGUAAAGCGCUCGUUGGCGGUAUGUCAAGUCACGGGUGAAAUCCCCGCGCUCAACGUGGGAACUGCCUUUGAGACUGGCAAACUGGAGUGUGUGAGAGGAUAGUGGAAUUCCAGGUGUAGGGGUGAAAUCCGUAGAUAUCUGGAGGAACAUCAGUGGCGAAGGCGACUAUCUGGCACAUAACUGACGCUGAGGAGCGAAAGCGUGGGUAGCAAACAGGAUUAGAUACCCCUGUAGUC
rnacentral:rRNA from 1 species